rnacentral:misc_RNA from 1 species
CUUUUGUUUUCUUUGUUUAGAGUGUAUUGAUGGAGAAGAAAAAUGAGGAGGAGGUAUCUGAAAACAAAGUGUACGAGGCAUAAGCCUUCAUAUGACUGGCACGCGUUUGAGCAACCUAAAGGGUAACGGAGAAGAAGAAGAAUAUGUGGCACGCAAUGAUGGAGGAAUCUGGCAAAUAACAACAAAGAGAAAACAUCUGCUGUUCUUCGCGGAUGGAGACGAUGACGAUGGAAAAUUAAGGGGUUACGCGGAAUCUGGAAAUUAAUGGGAAAAUCCAAAGAAAAUAACCCACCAUCACAAUAAUUGGAUUUUUUUUU